rnacentral:lncRNA from 1 species
CCAUUCAAGUCCAUGCGGCGGCUUUACCGUUCAUGGAAAUGACUUGCCCGCUAUACUUGUUGACCCUUGGGCUUAUUGCAUCAUUGCCUUGCUCUUCUUCCAUCAGCCAUGACGUUUGUUUUGAAGGGCCCACAUUAAUUUAUUGUGGUAGUAAGCUUUUACCUACGAAAUAAUUAGGGAUGUCAAUGGAUUGAAUAUGAAUUUGAUCGAUGUACAUCCGUAUCCAUUCUAUAAUUAAAAAUUUCAUAUUCAUAUCUAUCCUGUAUCUAUCUUGGGUCAGAUAAAGUAGAUGGUGCAGAUCGGAUAGAUCAAAUAUGUUGGAUUGGGUCGGAUAAGAUAGAUAAUAUAGGUUAAAUCGAAUAAAGUAGAUGGUGCAAGUCGGAUC